CCUGGGGGAGGUAGCCGGAGCGCUGGCCCUCGAAGAAGAGGAUGCACUUGGACAAUGCGUCCCGUAGUCGAGGUAGCUCGCCUAGCCGCGGCGGCGGCGAGGCGUGAGGAGGAAGAGAAAGGGGAGGCGGAGGGUCGGCAUUGUUGGAAAUGGCGGGGUGUGAGAGAGAGAGAGAGAGAGAGAGAGAGAGAGAGUGUGUUGGUUUUGGUUUGGGGAGUCUCGUGAGUGGAGAGUGGCGGGGCUUGGUGGGGCUUUUCGAGUUUUGGAAUUGAAUAUGAGAAGACGACGUCGAGCGGAAAAGUGAAGGCGGGGGGACGAAACGGUAGAGGGACAUAGAGGGGGUGGAGGCAGUUGAGAGGAGUUUCUUUUGGGUCGAGGAUGGAAUUUAAUGGGGUUGAGAUGCUUUCCAACUUCCUGUCUUGAUUUUUAGGUAAAUGAUCUAUACUUGU
rnacentral:lncRNA from 1 species